CCCAUUCAUUGGCUUCCUACUGCAUGAGAAUAAAAUCCAAACUCCUUACUAUGGUCUACAAAGACCCCAUAUGAUUUGGCUAUUUCCUGUCUCACAAAACUCAACUAUCUCCCGGCCCCUUCCCCUUUCUCACUACUCUGCAGCCACACUGACCUUCUUUCAAUACUCAAAGGCCCCAUGCUUUUUCCAUUCUCAGGAACUUUACAUAUGCUGUUCUUCUAUUGCCUUCCUCUACAGCCCAGUGCAGUGGUGAGAGGAGGGGCUGGCUGGGCUUCCUGGGUCGAGUAGGGGCUCAGAAAGCUGUGAAACUCCCUUAUUUCCUGCAUCAGGACUUACUUUGGUCCUGGAUGGAUAAUAUUGAAGAUACAUGCUUAAACUAUUCCUAACACCAGGAUUUCUGCAUGUGUUUUCUUCCCCAAGAAAGCCAUAAACAGCGAAAAUUUUCCUGUACGUUUCUCUGUGUCCUCUCUCCCUCUCUCCCCUUCCCCCUCCCCCGAAACUAAAGUAAAAAGAAUGUUAACUGGCCAUUUUUCUGUGACCAGUGGACCUUAUCUAUACUCCCAAUCCCAAUUCCUUGUGAACAUACUUUGUAAAGUCCUGUAAGAUGCUGUCUCCUUUGCCAUGCCGCUGCGAGGUCAUAAAAUAAAUAAAACCUAAGUUGCAAUUCCGGUUUUCCUUAAGAUCUAAGACAUGUCACAAAUGGUUGUCUUUUUUUCUUGCUCUGGUAACAUCUUCCCGCUGCACGUAUUUCCCACCUUAAAGAGUUUAAAAGGCAGUUGUAUAAUCUAACUCUGGCUACCCAUUCGGGAGGGACCCCUUCCACGCUGUGGAAGCUUUGUACUUUCACUCUGCUCAAUAAAGCCUACCGCUUUUUCUCUCUAUCAGUCCUUGUGUCUAUCACUCGCUGCGGUCAGCUGCCACACCAAUUCUUUGGUGUGGCUAGGCAAGAACCUUACGUGUUACAUUUUGGCGAGCCAGCCAGGAGUCUCCAGGAAAGGCAUCUAGAUCGUCACAUGCUUCUUCCCUCCAGGUAAAUUGCAGACGUGAUGCUCAGAAUUAAACUGUCAGGAUGCUGCCAUUCUGCUGCAUGCUCCGGACAGCUGGCCGUUAGGGAGCACUGCAGGCUUGGAAGAGGUGACUUGUCUCCCUGUGUACAGCCCUCUGGGUAGAGCAGCUGUCAUCUAAAUACAGAUGCUGAUCUCCAAAAGAAGUUCCAGUUUGGUUACAGAGAGUUACAGCAUAGUGAAACUUCAAGAACUAGGUUUUUCUGGACCAUCCCAGUGCGCAUGAAUCAGGUGAUUUUAUCUUUUGUUCCUCUCCUUGCUAUCCCUAAUCUGUCAGGCAGUCCUAAAUCUAUACCAUCAGGCUUGUUUGUUCUACUUCUCUAUCCUUUUAUUAUGGUUCCAUUAACUCACAUCCAAGGAUGUCAAGAGAAUAAAUAGCCCAAUAAAACAAAAGAAUAUACUUCCAGAUUUAAAAAGAAAGAAACAUACAAGAAAUACAUAAAUCAUACUAUAUGACGAUAGCCCAGAAGAUUGCAUGGAGGAUCUUUGUGUUUCCUGUAGAAGAAAAGAAAAAUGGAAUUUCCAUCUCUUGCAUCAGCACUUGACAGCUGGAGUUAUUGUUGACCAGGCAUCAAGAAAGGAGGGAUAUGCAUCAGAAAUCAUUUUGCCUGAAAUAAGCACAACUCCAUGGAGGACAAUGACACAUUUUCUCUGGUGAUCUUGUAAUUGGGGAUGAUGUAAACAUGAGUCUAAUCUGCAUUUUGUCUAAGAAAUUCUUCAUCAUGAGCAUCUUCCAAUAAAACGUGGUUCCUUACAACAUGAGUUUGCAUGACAACUUCUUACCACUUACUUCAUGUCACACUUAUAUAAUGGAGACUCAUGUCUCAAUGAACGCUUUCCAGAUAAACAGAAGCACUUCUCCAAGAGUAAUAAACACCUG
rnacentral:lncRNA from 1 species